rnacentral:rRNA from 1 species
AAUGAACGCUGGCGGCGUGCCUAAUACAUGCAAGUCGAGCGGACACACAGUGAGCUUUCUCCCUUGCCGUUGGCGGCUGACGGAUGAGUAACACGUAGAUCACCAUCCUCUAAUUCGUGGAUGACUACGUAAGGCCGCAUCUACUACCGGCUCAUAUGUUGUACCGCAUAGUUCAAUAGUUCUACACGCUUUUGCUGUCUCUUAUAGAUGAAUCCGCGCCGCCUUAGAUAGUUGGUAAGGUAACGGCCUACCAAGGCUACGAUGCGUAUCCGACCUGAGAGGGUGAUCAGCCACACUGGAACUGAGACACGGUCCAGACUCCUAAGGGAGGCAGCAGUAGGGAAUAUUACGCAAUGGGCGAAAGCCUGACGGAGCAAAGCCGCGUGAGUGAUGAAGGUCUUCGGAUCGUAAAACUCUGUUAUUAGGGAAGAAAAAAAGUGUAAGUAACUAUGCACGUCUUGACGGUACCUAAUCAGAAAGCCACGGCUAACUACGUG